UACGUAGGGGGCAAGCGUUGUCCGGAAUCAUUGGGCGUAAAGCGCGUGUAGGCGGCCUUGUAAGUCCGUUCUGAAAGCCCGGGGCUCAACCCCGGGAGGCGGAUGGAUACUGCAAGGCUCGAGUCCGGAAGAGGCGAGUGGAAUUCCUGGUGUAGCGGUGGAAUGCGCAGAUAUCAGGAGGAACACCAAUGGCGAAGGCAGCACUCUGGGACGUGACUGACGCUGAGACGCGAAAGCGUGGGGAGCAAACAGG
rnacentral:rRNA from 1 species